UACUUAUGGUGUAGACACUUCAGAAGUAGCCCAUUGAAUCAUUCCCAUGCUUCAAAGAAUUACUCAUCUUCUCUUUGAAUAAAUUCUGAAAUUUCCUUACGAAUUA
rnacentral:snoRNA from 1 species